rnacentral:rRNA from 1 species
GCGUAGGGUACGUAGGCGGAUAGUUUAAAAUAGAGUAAAAGACUGAGGUUCAACCUCUUUAAUCUGUAUUCACUGGCUAUCUUGAGUUCUAGGGAUGAUAUUGAAUUCCUUAAGUAAGGGUUAAAUUGUUGAUAUUGGAAGACAUUCGAAGGCGAAAGCUAUUAUCAAUCUAGAUCUGACGCUAGGUACUAAAGUAUGGGUAUGAAAAGGAUUAGAGACCUUGUAGUCCAUACCUUAAACAAUGAGUGUUCAACAUCUUUUAGCAUUUCAUAAUAAAUAUUAUGAAUGGAGCUAAUAGGGGUUUACAGCUAACGCGUGAAACACCGCCUGGGGAAUGUGGCCGCAAGGUUAAACUCAAAGGAAUUGAGGAGGCUUGUACAAGG